rnacentral:rRNA from 1 species
UACGGGGGGGGCAAGCGUUGUUCGGAAUUACUGGGCGUAAAGGGCUCGUAGGCGGCCAACUAAGUCCGACGUGAAAUCCCCAGGCUCAACCUGGGAACUGCGUCGGAUACUGGAUGGCUUGAAUUCGGGAGAGGGAUGCAGAAUUCCAGGUGUAGCGGUGAAAUGCGUAGAUAUCUGGAGGAAUACCGGUGGCGAAGGCGGCAUCCUGGACCGAUAUUGACGCUGAUGAGCGAAAGCUAGGGGAGCAAACGGG